rnacentral:rRNA from 1 species
AUUGAACGCUGGCGGCAGGCUUAACACAUGCAAGUCGAGCGGGGUGAUGGUGCUUGCACUAUCACUUAGCGGCGGACGGGUGAGUAAUGCUUAGGAAUCUGCCUAUUAGUGGGGGACAACAUCUCGAAAGGGAUGCUAAUACCGCAUACGUCCUACGGGAGAAAGCAGGGGAUCACUUGUGACCUUGCGCUAAUAGAUGAGCCUAAGUCGGAUUAGCUAGGUGGUGGGGUAAAGGCCUACUAAGGCGACGAUCUGUAGCGGGUCUGAGAGGAUGAUCCGCCACACUGGGACUGGGACACGGCCCAGACUCCUACGGGAGGCAGCAGUGGGGAAUAUUGGACAAUGGGGGGAACCCUGAUCCAGCCAUGCCGCGUGUGUGAAGAAGGCCUUAUGGUUGUAAAGCACUUUAAGCGAGGAGGAGGCUCUUUUGGUUAAUACCCAAGAUGAGUGGACGUUACUCGCAGAAUAAGCACCGGCUAACCCCGUGCCAGCCGCCGCAGUAA